GGCUCAGGAUGAACGCUAGCGGCAGGCUUAAUACAUGCAAGGUCGUGGGGCAGCGCAGGUAGCAAUACUGGGCGGCGACCGGCAAACGGGUGCGGAACACGUACACAACCUUCCGAGAAGUGGGGAAUAGCCCAGAGAAAUUUGGAUUAAUACCCCGUAACAUAAUGAUGUGGCAUCACAUUAUUAUUAUAGCUACGGCGCUUAUUGAUGGGUGUGCGGCUGAUUAGAUAGUUGGCGGGGUAACGGCCCACCAAGUCUACGAUCAGUAGCUGAUGUGAGAGCAUGAUCAGCCACACGGGCACUGAGACACGGGCCCGACUCCUACGGGAGGCAGCAGUAAGGAAUAUUGGUCAAUGGACGCAAGUCUGAACCAGCCAUGCCGCGUGAAGGAUUAAGGUCCUCUGGAUUGUAAACUUCUUUUAUCUGGGACGAAAAAAGGCGAUUCUUCGUCACUUGACGGUACCAGAUGAAUAAGCACCGGCUAACUCCGUG
rnacentral:rRNA from 1 species